UCAAAAGGCAAUGAACCGGACCCGUUUUGACUCUGGUGUUGCCUGAAAAGAAUAGCAGCAGCUAAAGCCUGUUCUUGAAUCAAAGAAUCAGUACUAUCUUUACGCUGUGAUCGGAUCCGGGUCCACCGAUUACUUGAAUUGGGAUUUUGGUUCUGAAAGAAGUGAAAUGGAGGGAGAUAAGAAAAGGGUAAAAGA